AUUGAACGCUGGCGGCAUGCCUUACACAUGCAAGUCGAACGGUAACGGGCCUUCGGGUGCCGACGAGUGGCGAACGGGUGAGUAAUACAUCGGAACGUGCCCGAUCGCGGGGGAUAACGAGGCGAAAGCUUUGCUAAUACCGCAUACGAUCUACGGAUGAAAGCCGGGGAGCGCAAGGGCUUGCGCGGACGGAGCGGCCGCUGGCAGAUUAGGUAGUUGGUGGGAUAAAAGCUUACCAAGCCGACGAUCUGUAGCUGGUCUGAGAGGAUGAUCAGCCACACUGGGACUGAGACACGGCCCAGACUCCUACGGGAGGCAGCAGUGGGGAAUUUUGGACAAUGGGCGCAAGCCUGAUCCAGCCAUGCCGCGUGCAGGAUGAAGGCCUUCGGGUUGUAAACUGCUUUUGCACGGAACGAAAAGCCUUCUUUUAAUACAGGAGGGUCAUGACGGUACCGUAAGAAUAAGCACCGGCUAACUACGUA
rnacentral:rRNA from 1 species